GUCAAGGGCAUAGACCUCGGUUGGAGGCUCCUCCCAGCACCUGGCCCCGGUCGGGGCGCGUGCAGGCAGCAACCCAUCGAUGUGCUUCUCUCCCAUCGAUAUUUCUCUCUGUCUCUCCCUCUCUCU